rnacentral:rRNA from 1 species
UAAUGCAAGUCGAGCGGACCGACGGGAGCUUGCUCCCUUAGGUCAGCGGCGGACGGGUGAGUAACACGUGGGUAACCUGCCUGUAAGACUGGGAUAACUCCGGGAAACCGGGGCUAAUACCGGAUGCUUGAUUGAACCGCAUGGUUCAAUUAUAAAAGGUGGCUUUCAGCUACCACUUGCAGAUGGACCCGCGGCGCAUUAGCUAGUUGGUGAGGUAACGGCUCACCAAGGCGACGAUGCGUAGCCGACCUGAGAGGGUGAUCGGCCACACUGGGACUGAGACACGGCCCAGACUCCUACGGGAGGCAGCAGUAGGGAAUCUUCCGCAAUGGACGAAAGUCUGACGGAGCAACGCCGCGUGAGUGAUGAAGGUUUUCGGAUCGUAAAACUCUGUUGUUAGGGAAGAACAAGUGCCGUUCGAAUAGGGCGGUACCUUGACGGUACCUAACCAGAAAGCCACGGCUAACUACGUGCCAGCAGCCGCGGUAAUACGUAGGKGGCAAGCGUUGUCCGGAAUUAUUGGGCGUAAAGCGCGCGCAGGCGGUUUCUUAAGUCUGAUGUGAAAGCCCCCGGCUCAACCGGGGAGGGUCAUUGGAAACUGGGGAACUUGAGUGCAGAAGAGGAGAGUGGAAUUCCACGUGUAGCGGUGAAAUGCGUAGAGAUGUGGAGGAACACCAGUGGCGAAGGCGACUCUCUGGUCUGUAACUGACGCUGAGGCGCGAAAGCGUGGGGAGCGAACAGGAUUAGAUACCCUGGUAGUCCACCGCCGUAACGAUGAGGGGCUAAGUGGUUAGAGGGUUCCCCCCUUUAGUGCUGCAGCAAACGCAUAGC